rnacentral:rRNA from 1 species
UGGGGAAUUUUGGACAAUGGGCGAAAGCCUGAUCCAGCAAUGCCGCGUGUGUGAAGAAGGCCUUCGGGUUGUAAAGCACUUUUGUCCGGAAAGAAAUCCUUGGCUCUAAUACAGUCGGGGGAUGACGGUACCGGAAGAAUAAGCACCGGCUAACUACGUGCCAGCAGCCGCGGUAAUACGUAGGGUGCAAGCGUUAAUCGGAAUUACUGGGCGUAAAGCGUGCGCAGGCGGUUUGCUAAGACCGAUGUGAAAUCCCCGGGCUCAACCUGGGAACUGCAUUGGUGACUGGCAGGCUAGAGUAUGGCAGAGGGGGGUAGAAUUCCACGUNGAGGCAGUGAAAUGCGUAGAGAUGUGGAGGAAUACCGAUGGCGAAGGCAGCCCCCAUGGGCCAAUACUGACGCUCAUGCACGAAAGCGUGGGGAGCAAACAGGAUUAGAUACCCUGGUAGUCCACGCCCUAAACGAUGUCAACUAGUUGUUGGGGAUUCAUUUCCUUAGUAACGUAGCUAACGCGUGAAGUUGACCGCCUGGGGAGUACGGUCGCAAGAUUAAAACUUAAAUGAAUUGACGGGGUCAUAGCUGUUUCCU